GUGUCUUUUGAAAGGAGAGCAGGUUAGCACUCCCCUUGACAAGGAUGGAACACAAUCGGGGGCCCAGAGGCACACGUGAAUUUUCUGGGCUCCCUCAAUUUUUU